UACGUAGGGUGCGAGCGUUAAUCGGAAUUACUGGGCGUAAAGCGUGCGCAGGCGGUUCGUUGUGUCUGCUGUGAAAUCCCCGGGCUCAACCUGGGAAUGGCAGUGGAAACUGGCGAGCUUGAGUGUGGCAGAGGGGGGUGGAAUUCCGCGUGUAGCAGUGAAAUGCGUAGAUAUCUGGAGGAACACCGGUGGCGAAGGCGGCAUUCUGGACCGACAUUGACGCUGAGGAGCGAAAGCGUGGGGAGCGAACAGG
rnacentral:rRNA from 1 species